UACGUAGGGUCCGAGCGUUUGUCCGGAAUUACUGGGCGUAAAGAGCUCGUAGGUGGUUGUCGCGUUGUUCGUGAAAACUCACAGCUCAACUGUGGGCGUGCGGGCGAUACGGGCAGACUAGAGUACUGCAGGGGAGACUGGAAUUCCUGGUGUAGCGGUGGAAUGCGCAGAUAUCAGGAGGAACACCAAUAGCGAAGGCAGCUCGCUGGGACGUUACUGACACUGAGGCGCGAAAGCGUGGGGAGCGAACAGG
rnacentral:rRNA from 1 species